AUGUAGAUUUGCAAGGAGCAAUGGGAUUAAGGUAAUUUUCUCAACCCUGUGUGCUUAUUUUAUAACAUUUCUGCUGUGAAGAAGAGGCAUGUGAUCUCUUCAGACACACAUUCACAGUUUUGAGAACUCUAAAACCAAGCAUCUGUGAUAUUAGCUUCUAAAGAGAAAAACUGCCCAAGAGUCUUAC